rnacentral:rRNA from 1 species
AUGAACGCUGGCGGCGUGCCUAAUACAUGCAAGUCGAACGAGUUCUGAUUAUUGAAAGGUGCUUGCAUCUUGAUUUAAUUUUGAACGAGUGGCGGACGGGUGAGUAACACGUGGGUAACCUGCCCUUAAGUGGGGGAUAACAUUUGGAAACAGAUGCUAAUACCGCAUAAAUCCAAGAACCGCAUGGUUCUUGGCUGAAAGAUGGCGUAAGCUAUCGCUUUUGGAUGGACCCGCGGCGUAUUAGCUAGUUGGUGAGGUAACGGCUCACCAAGGCAAUGAUACGUAGCCGAACUGAGAGGUUGAUCGGCCACAUUGGGACUGAGACACGGCCCAAACUCCUACGGGAGGCAGCAGUAGGGAAUCUUCCACAAUGGACGCAAGUCUGAUGGAGCAACGCCGCGUGAGUGAAGAAGGCUUUCGGGUCGUAAAACUCUGUUGUUGGAGAAGAAUGGUCGGCAGAGUAACUGUUGUCGGCGUGACGGUAUCCAACCAGAAAGCCACGGCUAACUACGUGCCAGCAGCCGCGGUAAUACGUAGGUGGCAAGCGUUAUCCGGAUUUAUUGGGCGUAAAGCGAGCGCAGGCGGUUUUUUAAGUCUGAUGUGAAAGCCCUCGGCUUAACCGAGGAAGUGCAUCGGAAACUGGGAAACUUGAGUGCAGAAGAGGACAGUGGAACUCCAUGUGUAGCGGUGAAAUGCGUAGAUAUAUGGAAGAACACCAGUGGCGAAGGCGGCUGUCUGGUCUGUAACUGACGCUGAGGCUCGAAAGCAUGGGUAGCGAACAGGAUUAGAUACCCUGGUAGUCCAUGCCGUAAACGAUGAGUGCUAGGUGUUGGAGGGUUUCCGCCCUUCAGUGCCGCAGCUAACGCAUUAAGCAUUCCGCCUGGGGAGUACGACCGCAAGGUUGAAACUCAAAGGAAUUGACGGGGGCCCGCACAAGCGGUGGAGCAUGUGGUUUAAUUCGAAGCAACGCGAAGAACCUUACCAGGUCUUGACAUCUUUUGAUCACCUGAGAGAUCAGGUUUCCCCUUCGGGGGCAAAAUGACAGGUGGUGCAUGGUUGUCGUCAGCUCGUGUCGUGAGAUGUUGGGUUAAGUCCCGCAACGAGCGCAACCCUUAUGACUAGUUGCCAGCAUUUAGUUGGGCACUCUAGUAAGACUGCCGGUGACAAACCGGAGGAAGGUGGGGAUGACGUCAAAUCAUCAUGCCCCUUAUGACCUGGGCUACACACGUGCUACAAUGGAUGGUACAACGAGUUGCGAGACCGCGAGGUCAAGCUAAUCUCUUAAAGCCAUUCUCAGUUCGGACUGUAGGCUGCAACUCGCCUACACGAAGUCGGAAUCGCUAGUAAUCGCGGAUCAGCACGCCGCGGUGAAUACGUUCCCGGGCCUUGUACACACCGCCCGUCACACCAUGAGAGUUUGUAACACCCGAAGCCGGUGGCGUAACCCUUUUAGGGAGCGAGCCGUCUAAGGUGGGACAAAUGAUUAGGGUG